rnacentral:rRNA from 1 species
GACGAACGCUGGCGGCGUGCCUAAUACAUGCAAGUCGACCUUAGUGGCGAACGGGUGAGUAACACGUGGGUAACCUGCCCAUCAGAAGGGGAUAACACUUGGAAACAGCUGCUAAUACCGUAUACUGAUGGAUGGACCCGCGGGGCAUUAGCUAGUUGGUGAGGUAACGGCUCACCAAGGCCACGAUGCAUAGCCGGCCGGAGAGGUUGAUUGGGCACAUUGGGACUGAGACACGGCCCAGACUCCGACGGGAGGCAGGAGGAGGGAAUUCUUGGCAAUGGGAGAAAGUCUGGCCCAGCAACGCCGCGUGAGGGAAGAAGGGUUUCGGGUUGGAAAACUCUUGUGUUAGGGAAGCGGUAUCCAAACAGAAAGCCACGGCUAACUACGUGCCAGCAGCCGCGGUAAUAC